rnacentral:rRNA from 1 species
GGCGGCGUGCCUAAUACAUGCAAGUCGAGCGAACAGACGAGGAGCUUGCUCCUCUGACGUUAGCGGCGGACGGGUGAGUAACACGUGGAUAACCUACCUAUAAGACUGGGAUAACUUCGGGAAACCGGAGCUAAUACCGGAUAAUAUAUUGAACCGCAUGGUUCAAUAGUGAAAGACGGUUUUGCUGUCACUUAUAGAUGGAUCCGCGCCGCAUUAGCUAGUUGGUAAGGUAACGGCUUACCAAGGCAACGAUGCGUAGCCGACCUGAGAGGGUGAUCGGCCACACUGGAACUGAGACACGGUCCAGACUCCUACGGGAGGCAGCAGUAGGGAAUCUUCCGCAAUGGGCGAAAGCCUGACGGAGCAACGCCGCGUGAGUGAUGAAGGUCUUCGGAUCGUAAAACUCUGUUAUUAGGGAAGAACAAAUGUGUAAGUAACUAUGCACGUCUGACG